AAGGGCACCACAAGAACGCGUGGAGCAUGUGGCUUAAUUUGACUCAACGCGGGAAAUCUUACCGGGUCCGGACACACUGAGGAUUGACAGGCGAUAUAACGAAUCUUAUUUCUUAAUAAGAUAUUCGCUAUUCAAAUAUGCUAGUCCUUUCAUGAUUAUGUGUAGGUGGUGCAUGGCCGUUCUUAGUUCGUGGAGUGAUCUGUCUGCUUAAUUGCGUUUCACUAAGGUCCCAUAUACUAAAGGCAUGUCGACCUCUCUUUAGGAUUAAUUAAGGCUUGGACCCCUCUUUUAUUAAGAGCGAGUGUCUAAUGUCUUAUUAUCCUUUAUAUAAGAUAGUGUCGUAUGCUGUUGGGAUCUGAAAGCAACGAACGUGACCGCAACGUCUUGUUGCCUUACCUAUACUGGUAUUAUACUUAAUACCGUAUAACUCAAGGCUUUACUUAUAAAACUAGACGGACCGCUGUUUCUUUUCCUUAAACCAGAGGAAGGUUGCGGCAAUAACAGGUCUGUGAUGCCCUUAGAUGUUCCGGGCUGCACACGUGCUACAAUGAUCAGUACAGUGAGCAUCUCAAUUUAUCUUUAUAUAGAAUUUAUUCUAUAUAAGAACCGUAUUUUCAAGCAUCUGUCGUUAUUACAAUGAUCAGUAUGCGCGGUAACGCCUGUUUCGAGAGUAAAUGGGUAAUCCAUUGGAAGUAAUGAUUUCUCUAUUUUAUAAUAAAAUGCACGGUUUAUAUACGGCAUUCAUUCCCGAGGCGCCUUUGUAGUGUCUAUGUGCGAAUGUAAUGUUAUGGCUUUGUUAUUAACGACUAUUCCUUAAUAGUUUUGUUAUUAACGGCUAUAGUUAUCGUAUGUGCGAUUG
rnacentral:rRNA from 1 species